AGAGUCGUGCAGCCACCUCCGACCAGGAGAAAUCGGCAGAAAAGCCUGAUGAAGGUGUGGUGCACACUGCUCUUAGUUUCCUCAGCAACGGCCGACGAGCCCCCACCACCACCUACGAGAAGAAGUGAGCGACCUCGCAAACUCUCGGUACCCUCUUACAAAGAGCCCAAUGUUAACAGGAAAAUGCGACGCCAGUGAUUGACAGGACAGCACCUUCCAGAGUCCAGAC